GUUGGAUCAUCCAUUAUAUUUUUCCUUAUAUUAAUGUAUAUUUUCUUCCUUUUACUCCAGGUUGUGCCCGCUCGGUGUUGGGAGUGAAGAAGCUCACACCCAUCCUCUCUGCCUUUCUCACUGAGGACAGGUACAACGUGGUCACUCAGCACUGAACUUAUUGCCAGAUCUUCCUGGAUGAGAAGGGAAUGCCACCGCGAAGGAAGGAUUACCGAGGGGAGGUUCAAGUUGUGUUGGAAGGGAACACAAGCGCCGUGCGUUACGCGUGUCACCACCACAGCAGAACUGUGUUUGGGGAAAUCAAGAACUGAACAGAUCCUUUUUUAUUUCCACUCAUUUUCAG
rnacentral:lncRNA from 1 species